UCAUGGCGAGGAGGAUCAAAGAGUGGGAGAAGACCAAUAAAUUGCCAAGGCCCACCAGGACCUUCCUUAGUCCCUUCAGGUACUUCCUUUACAACGAAGAAAUUUAGUAAGGUUUUGCUUUGUAUAUGGACAAGCAUGCCACAGUAUACUAGUUGUUUACCACCUGAUAGGCAACAGCAAGCGAUCGUAGCCCUCUCUCUGCAUAAUUGCCAAUAGCAUGAUGGACCUUCCUUUCAAUCUCAGACUUGUUCGAUGCUAGAUUCAGGAUCUGAAAGAGCAUUUGAAUAUGAUGAAAUAUAAGUACACUAGAGUACCAAUGAUGUGACUGCAUUUAGUCAUAUAUAUUGCUCACUUGUAUUCAUUUCAACGAAGCAAAUACCAAAAAGAGCUGAAAUAAGGAGCACAAAUAAACUUGACUUUAGUUGAAAAGAUGGAAAAUUAGAUUAUAGAGGCAAACAAAAUACACACAAACUAGUACUGAGAAGUCAUCAAUUCAGUUGAUACACAUACACCAAAAAAAUGACCACAGGGAGAAGACAUCCCAUAACUUUAUCUUAAGAGAGGGGAGUCACAAACCCUUUAGGCACAUACCACAUGAACUGCCCAGGUUCAAGCCCAGGUGGGUGGCCUCCACAUAUACAUUAAGAAUGUGCAAAGUAAUUCAUAUUCCUUCAUUUGCUUUUGCUAUGGCAGUAGUAGCCAAGAAGAUAAAAUGCACCAAAUAAGUUUCAUGCACAAUUUAUCUCAACAUAUAUUGAAUCUUUACUAUAGAUAUUACCAUAUUUGGCAACUGUGUUUUUCAAAUAGUCUCCAUACUAUGUCUUCUGCACUUUAUUUCAGGUAGCAUUUUAUAAAGGGAUCGAACUAUGCAAUGUAUAUACCUGUUCAGGAGCGCCUUUGCUAACCCUGUGCAUUUUACCCCCAGCGUCUAAGUAUGUGAGUGCUGUUCUCUUGUCAGUUGGAUUGAAUGGGAGGAAAUGAAGUUCUUGAAUGCCGGCACGUGCCUAGCAGCAGACAGGAGAAAAUAAAAUAGAGAUGUAAAUUAAAUUAAGAAGAAGCAAAAGAGGCCAAUAAGCUUGUUGGGUGAAACUCAUGAACACACUUUCUGCAUAACUGAUACUACCCCAGCUGUGAAAUCAUGUGUUAUCAGUUGAAAGCUGCUAGAUCCUAAUUAGCAAGGCAAUAAUAUGAAUGUAAAAGAAAAAAGCAAAAGCUUGAAGGAAAUAACUAUAACUGUGUCAUCUGCAGCAACAACAUUGAAGAAACUGCUUUCCAUCUUUUCUUCAGCUGUCCCUUUAGCCAAACUUGUUGACAGCACCUUGGAAUUAAUUGGGAUUUCACAAAAGAAUUUUUCGAGAUGAUGCAGCAAGCUAAAACUCAAUCUCAGAAUCCCUUUUUCAUUUCUUCACCAUUGCGGCAUGGCAAAUUUGGAAGCAGAGAAACAACUUCAUCUUUGAUAGGGGUCGGCCUUCUUUUAUCUCUUGGAAGAACUCCUUCUGUGAAGAAGCUAGGCUUCAAGCUCAUAGGUCCAAUGCUGUAAAGCGUCUAGAGCCCCUCCUUCCCUUGUUGUGUCGCCUUUGUACAGUGUUGUUUCUCUUUUUGGUUUUAAUCAAAUCCACAGUGGGGGCCUCCCCUGCUGUAUAUUUGACUCAAAAAAACGAACGUACAGAUGUAUUGUCCAAGAAUGUGUGCAGUCAAAGUUUCAAACUUUGAUCAUUAACAAACAUAAAAGUACUUGCACUUUUUAUGAUAUAUUUGAAUAAAUUAAUGGUCAAAAUGUGCAUUCGAGACUGUAUUAAAGCACUAAUUUGAUGAUGUCGAAAACAAGUAAAUUUUGGACCAGUUUAGAGUAAACUAUUGAAAUGAUAUGGAAUCAUUUUGUGAACCUAUAUAUGUUAGGACUCGAGUGUUUACCUCCUUCCUAAUUGAAGCGAAGCAAACAGCCAGCUAUCAUCUGAACAGGUACAAAAAUAAAACAAAUACGAAAGGAUGGUUCUUACCUCUUUCGGAUCUGGCAACAUCGAAACAAUAGCAAAAUCAAUAGCAUCUUGAUUCUCUAGUCUAGAAGCUCUUGCGGCCAUUAAGACAACGUCAUCCUUCUCCAUGCCUCUAGCAAAAACCUAAGGAGAUGUUACAUGCUUUAGCAAUUAAACUAGCAUGGAUGAAAGUGAAGAAUUGUCACUAUGCUCAUAGUCAUGGUACAAAGCAACUAAAGAAGAAAGGAUUGGUUUACCGCACACAGCGUAAUAGGAACCAUUUAAGAGAUGAAACUGCAUGAAGAUGUUUUAUGUAUUUAACUCACUAGUCACAACAGAAAUGAGGAGGAAAAUGAAAAGAGCACAUUUGAAGAUGAGAGCUAUGCAGGUGGUAAAUGCAUGAACAAGUGAGAAGUAAUAAGCUUGAAACUGGUGAUAUGUAAAUACAUGGGCAAAAGAAUAGAAAUAAUUGCUAGCUAUCUUCAACAGUAAAAGAAUCAUAUGUUUUUACCUCAAUUAAAUUCUUGUCAACAUUUAGUUUGUUGAGUGUCAGAGUUCCUGUUUUGUCGCUACAAAGGACAUCCAUUCCAGCCAUUUCUUCUAUGGCGGUCAUCCUCUUUGUAAUAGCACCCUGCAGACAACCAAAAUGGGGGCAAAGUUAAACCAAAGAAAAGAGGUGCACAGUUAAACUCUUUCACCAGAGAAUUCCGACAGAACCUGCUGCGCUAGUUUGUGUGCUCCAAUAGCCAUAGUGACAGAAAGAACCGUGGGCAUGGCAAUUGGAAUUCCUCCAAUAAGCAGCACUAGGAGGUUAUCAACAAUCUGACGGUAUCCUUUUUUAUGAAUAGCGUACAUCACAAUUAACUCAAUAGUCAUUCCAGCAGCAAUUGAGCAAAUACAGAAGUUUCCGAUUGAUGUGAGAACCUAAAAGGCAUCCAUGAAACGAAACCAGGAUCACAGAUUCAGCAAUAAGAUAAUAAAUUACAGAAUGUAGUGAACUACCUCAAUGAUACAGGGAAAAACUAAUGACAUCAAACGCAAAAUAGAACUGAACCAGGUAGAUCAGGUGAAAAUAUAAGCUAUCGAGAUGUCAAUAGAAAUAAGAUAUAGAAUAAGAAAAGAGACACUGGUUGCUGAAGACUGACCUUCUGAAAGUGGCCAACAUGAGUAGUUGACUCGACGAGAUGAGCUGCUUUUCCAAAGAAAGUAUGUAUUCCAGUGGCAAUAACAACUGCUUCUAUUUCACCUUGCUUACAGGUUGAACCAGAGUAGAUCCCGUCACCAGGUUGCUUGGUUACAGGUAGCGAUUCUCCCGUAAGUGCAGACUGCAAAGUAUAAUCCCUUAUGCAUUUUAGUGUUUCAUAUCAGAAUUGUUCUUUUUUUCCCCUUCCCAAGAACACUAUUGUUGAGACAUAAGAAAGACCUGAUCAAUUUUCAGAGGAUCUCCCUCCAGAAGACGCGCGUCUGCUGGAAUGAUGUCUCCAAGUUUAAUGCUGAUUAUGUCACCUGGCACCAACAAAGACGCGUCCAUUUCACUCCAGGUUCCAUCACGCAAAACCUAGAA
rnacentral:lncRNA from 1 species